rnacentral:tRNA from 1 species
GGGGUUGUGGCUCAGUGGCAGAGUGCUUGCCUCGCAUGCAUGAGGCAGUGGGUUCGAUCCUCAGCACCA